rnacentral:rRNA from 2 species
AGGGUGUAGAAGCUGUCUGGAGAAGUCUGAUGGAGCACGCCGCGUGAGCGAUGAAGGCCUUCGGGUCGUAAAGCUCUGUUGUUAGGGAAGAACAAGUACCGGAGUAACUGCCGGUACCUUGACGGUACCUAACCAGAAAGCCACGGCUAACUACGUGCCAGCAGCCGCGGUAAUACGUAGGUGGCAAGCGUUGUCCGGAAUUAUUGGGCGUAAAGCGCGCGCAGGCGGUCCUUUAAGUCUGAUGUGAAAGCCCACGGCUCAACCGUGGAGGGUCAUUGGAAACUGGGGGACUUGAGUGCAGAAGAGGAAAGCGGAAUUCCACGUGUAGCGGUGAAAUGCGUAGAGAUGUGGAGGAACACCAGUGGCGAAGGCGGCUUUCUGGUCUGUAACUGACGCUGAGGCGCGAAAGCGUGGGGAGCAAACAGGAUUAGAUACCCCGGUAGUCAA